GACGAACGCUGGCGGCGUGCUUAACACAUGCAAGUCGAACGAGUGGCGAACGGGUGAGUAACACGUGGGUGAUCUGCCUUGCACUUCGGGAUAGGCCUGGGAAACUGGGUCUAAUACCGGAUAGUGCAAGAUGAGCCCGCGGCCUAUCAGCUUGUUGGUGGGGUAAGGGCUACAAAGGCGCGAAGGGUAGCCGGCCUGAGAGGGUGUACGGCCACAGUGGUACGGAGACACGGCCCAGACUUCUACGGGAGGCAGCAGUGGGGAAUAUUGAACAAGGGGCGCAAGCCUGAUGCAGCGACGCCGCGGGAGUGAAGAAGGUUUUCGGAUCGUAAAGCUCUGUUGUUAGAAAAGCGGUAACUAACCAGAAAGGGACGGCUAACUACGUGCCAGCCGCCGCGGUAAUAC
rnacentral:rRNA from 1 species